UACGAAGGGGGCUAGCGUUGCUCGGAAUUACUGGGCGUAAAGGGCGCGUAGGCGGAUAUCUAAGUUGGGGGUGAAAUCCCGGGGCUCAACCUCGGAAUUGCCUUCAAAACUGGAUAUCUUGAGUUCGGGAGAGGUGAGUGGAACUCCGAGUGUAGAGGUGAAAUUCGUAGAUAUUCGGAAGAACACCAGUGGCGAAGGCGACUCACUGGCCCGAUACUGACGCUGAGGCACGAAAGCGUGGGGAGCAAACAGGG
rnacentral:rRNA from 1 species